CAAUCUGAUUUUGGGAAUCACGUAUUCUGCCAAGUUUGUUUGGAACCCUAGCCUCCAUUGUUGGCUUGUUGGUUUCUUCUUCAUUUUGCUAUCACAAAUUACACAUGGUAUCAGAGCUUCCAUAACAAACAACUCGUCUUCAGUGGGCCGACUCCAGAUUUGCUUGACAACUGUUCUUUCAUCCUCUAGUAAAGCUGGUUUUCUCGCAGAGGCUUCUUACCAUGAACAGAGUCGGCGAUUGACGAACUGUUUUUCCGACCAAGCUUCGAUGAUUUGGCACUUGUUGGAGGUAUUUUCUUUUGUUCUAGCUUUGGGGGUUGAGGAUGUAACUUGAAUUUGUGGAAGCUAUUAGGGGUGAAAUUAAGGAUAUUAGGUGCUCUGACUGCCCAAGAAAGAAGCUGGUCUUUUUGGGUUUUCAUAUUUGUUUUGGAUAUCAUUUGUUGUUUGUUGGCUGAAUCCUUUGUGAUGGUGGGUGUAAGAGAUGAUUCGCUUCAGUCAAUUACUGUGAGACUAGAUGGAAGAAAUUAUUCAUAUUGGAGUGUUGUGAUGAAAAUUUUUUUGAAAGGAAAAUCAUUGUGGGAUUAUGUAACUGGUAUUGAGACCAAACCUCAGCUUGAUGAAAAUGAAAAUGAAAAGUUUGUAGAAAUGCUUCGUACUUGGGACAUGAACAAUGCUAAAAUUACGACUUGGAUAUUUAAUUCUGUUGAACACUCUAUUGGUAUACAAUUGGCAAAAUAUGAGAUAGCUAAGGAAAUUUGGGACCAUUUAGUAAGGUUGUUCACAUAGUCUAAUUUUGCAAUGAAAUACGAAUUGGAAGCAAAUAUUCGAGCAAUAGAGUAGAAAAAUAUGAGUGUUCAAGAAUUUUAUUCUGCAAUUACCAACCUUUGGGAUCAAUUGACUCUUACAGAAGAUGAUGAACUUCGAGCUUAUAAACCAUAUAUUAAGAAUAGAGAGCGACAACGUUUGGUUCAAUUUUUGAUGGCUCUUCGUGAUGAAUUUGAAGGAUUUCGUAGGUCAAUUUUGCAUCGUAAUCCACUUCCAUCCGUUGAUUUUGUUAUUAGUGAACUUUUGGCAGAGGAAAUACAUUUGAAAUCCCAUGUAGGAAAAAUAUCUCUAUCUACAUCCAUUGCUUCAGUUUUGGCUGUCCCUUUUCGACCAUUCACACAGAAUCAAAUGAGGUCUUAUUUGAGAGUUGCUAGUGAUGAAUGUAGCUUUUGCAAGCAUAAGUGACAUUGGAAGGCUCAGUGUCCUAAGUUAUUGAAGAGACAAAAACCUCCAAAGAGUCCGCAACGGUCCUCACAGUAGUGGCAAUAUCAGUCUUUUGGAUAUUUGGGAGGUCAAUCACCACAUCUAUCUUAUAGGCCCAGUACAAAUACAGCAACUGUUGUACUUUAUUUUGACUCAUCUGGUAUUGAUACUUCGUAACCUUCUGCUCCUACUUUAUCUGAUCUCACUGAGCAGUUUUAGAAGUUCCUUGCCACACAGCCAUCUCCUUUGUCUGUAUCUUUGCGUAUAGGUUUGUCGUCCCACAAUCCUUCAGGUACAAGUUCCUCUAUAUGGGUUUUAGACUCGGGUGCGUCUAAUCAUAUGUCACUUGACUCGACAUCCUUUGUUUCUUUGUAUCCUUCUAAGUCAUCUGUAUCUGUGAUGACCACUGAUGGCACUCCAAUGUCCUUGGCAAGUGUCGGUUCUGAUAGCACACAAAAUUUGUCAUUUUUUGAAAUAUUGUAUAGACAUCCUCCUGAUUAUUCUUUUUUGAAAGUUUCUUGUUGUACUUGUUUUGUUCUUCAUCCUAAAGUAGAGCGUACCAAGUUAACUUCACGCUCUGCUAUUUGUGUGUUUUUAGGUUAUGGCGAUUGACAAAAAAGUUAUCGUUGUUUUGAUCCCAUUAGUCAAAAAUUGUAUGUCUCUGGUCAUGUUGUGUUCCUUGAGAAUAUUCCAUUCUUUCUUCCCGAUCAUUCUCAUAACAUGACUAAGUCUGAACUCAUUUGCAUUGAUCCAUUCUCUGAUGGUACAGAUAGUCCACUCUCUCAUACCCCAUGCAUUAUCGAUACUCAAUGCACUACAGGUCCUUGAUGUUCCCACUCCAUCUAUGGCCUCCCUCCCAAGUACCUUCUGUGGUUGUCGAUCAUCCUCCACCCCCCUCGAUAUCCUUAGCGUUCUCGUAAGUCUACCCAAUUACCAGAUUUUAGUUAUUCUUGCUAUUCAGAUUCCUUUAAUUGUUUUUUAACCUCUAUUCAUAACAUAUCCGAGCCCUUUUCCUAUAAAAAGGCUAUUCUUGAUCCUCUUUGGUAGGGAGCUAUGGCUAAGGAACUCUCUACACUGCAUAAGAUUGAUACUUGGGAUUUGGUUCCAUCACCACCUGGUAAAUGUGCUGUUGGUUCUCGUUGGGUCUAUAAGAUAAAAACAAAAGCUGAUGGCUCGAUUGACCGAUAUAAAGCUAGAUUAGUUGCUAAGAGUUUCAACCAAGAGUAUGGUAUGGAUUAUGAGGAGACCUUUGCUCCUCUUGUAAAGAUGACUACUGUUCGUAUGCUGAUUGCUAUUGCGUCUAUUCAUCGAUGGAAUAUCUCUCAGAUGGAUGUUAAAAUGCCUUCUUGAAUAAAACUCUUCACGAGGAUGUUUAUAUGGUGCCCCCUCCUGGUGUUUCUCAUAACCCUAGAUACGUUUGUAAAAUUAAGAAGGCACUUUAUGGUCUCAAACAAGCACCUCGUGUUUGGUUUGAGAAGUUUUCUACCGUUAUCGCCUCUCUUGGUUUUUCAUCAGUCAUCAUGAUUCUGCUUUCUUUGUUCGGUGCACAUCAGCAGGUCAUAUUAUCCUUUCUUUAUAUGUUGAUUACAUGAUUAUUACUGGUGAUGAUAUUGAUGGCAUUGUUAUCUUGAAGUCAGAAUUAGCUCUUCAAUUUGAAAUGAAGGACUUGGGUCCCCUACGUUACUUCUUGGAUAUAGAGGUUGCUUAUUCUUCUAAGGGUUAUCUUCUAUCUUAGUCUAAGUAUACAGCCAACGUCAUUCAAUGUGCUCGUCUCACUGAUACUCGAACUGUUGAUACUCCUCUUGAGACUAACGUUUGGUAUUCCCCCUCUAAUGGUGUACCUUUGAUGGGUCAUACUUUAUAUCAUACUAUUGUUUGUUGCUUGGUAUGUCUUACUAUUACUCAUCCAAAUAUUGCAUAUGCUGUUUAUAUUGUCAGUCAGUUUGUUGCAUCUCCUACUACAGUUCAUUGGGCUACUAUUGUUCGUAUGUUGCAUUAUCUUCGUGGCACUUGUUUUCCAAGUCUCUUACUUCCAUCGAGCUCAUCUUUAGAGCUACGUACAUACUCUGAUGCUGAUUGGGCUAAUGAUCCAACUGAUCGUAAAUCCACCACUGGUUUUUGUGUAUUUUUGGGUGAUUCUCUUAUUUCUUGGAAAAGUAAGAAGCAAACUAUUGUUUCUCGAUCUUCUACCGAGGCUGAGUAUCGUGCUAUGGCAUCCACUACUACUGAAAUUGUUUGGCUUCGUUGGUUACUUGCAGAUAUGGGUGUUAUUCUUUUCACUCCAACUCCUAUGUACUAUGAUAAAAAAAGCGCUAUUCAGAUAUCUCACAGCUCUGUGUUUCAUGAGCAAACAAAGCACAUUGAAAUCGAUUGUCAUCUCAUUCGUCACCAUCUUCAGCAUGACACUCUUACUCUACCUUUUGUUUCUUCUUCGAUGCAACUAGCUGAUUUUUUCACGAAAUCACACCCUGUUCAGCGUUUUCGCUUUUUGAUCAACAAACUCUUGAUGCUUCUUGCUGUCACAUUGUGAGUUUGAAGGGGAUGUUAGUAAAAUUAGUUAGUUUCUAUUUAUCUUAUUGUUAAAGGGUAGAAUGGUAGUUUUUAUUUACUUGAUUAGGGUAGUUUAGUCUUUUUACUGAUUUACUAUUUAUUCACUUGUAAUCUCAUUUUCCUCUCAAUCUGAUUUUGGGCAAUAUUCUGCCAAGUUUGUUUGGAGCCCUAGCCUCCAUUGUUGGCUUGUUGGUUUCUUCUUCAUUUUGCUAUCACAAAUUGCACACAUUCUCCUUCUCUAGACACGAAUGAUUUCCAUUGUAAACUAAAAUAUUCAUCUUCUUCUAUUGGAACCCGGGUAAAUUUGACUCUACUUGGUGUCAAAUUGACUUGAGUUUGA
rnacentral:lncRNA from 1 species